GCGCCGGCUUGUGAAUUGAGAGCGAGAUCAGGAGAUGAGAACGGUAAGGAUCAUCAAUGGCAAUGAUUGUCUCUAACAGCUGUUUGUCAUUGCAGUGAGAGUGGAGACGGGCUUUGAGAGUGGAGACGGGCUUUAAGAGCGAACCGGACCCCAGUGAGAGAGCUGCCACGCAUAUUCUGAGACUAAUUGCGCUGAAAAAGAAAAAAGAAAGUCAUACAGGAUUGGAACAACUAGAGGGACCUUGUAUUUCAUUUGAAAAGACUUCGACUAUUGUGAGACAUUGAGG